rnacentral:rRNA from 1 species
GGAUAUGGUCAAUAGCCUAAUGGCUGAACCAGCAACUUGGAGGAAUGUUAUCGACUAUGUCGGAUAAAGUUCUAGAUAGAAUAAUGAUGAUGACAAUUUUCUAUCUAUAUGUCUUGACCAAAUCUCGUGCCAGCAGUCGCGGCAAUACGAGGAAGACUAGUGUUAUUCAUCUUUAAUAGGUUUAAAGGGUACCUAGACGGUAUAUCUAGCCCCCCCCAAAGGGUACGGAUUGUACUAAAGUUUUAUGUGAGAGGUAUAUAUUAGUACUAUUGGUGUAAAGAUGAAAUUCUUUGAUACUAUUAGGACUGGUGGAGGCAAAAGCAACCCUCUAUGUAUAAACUGACGUUGAGGGACGAAGGCUUGGGUAGCGAAUAGGAUUAGAUACCCUAGUAGUCCAGGCAGAGAAUUAUGAAUGUCAUAGACUAGAUUGUGCAGAGCAUAUAGUUAUAAUUAAUAGUUAUAUGUCUUUUAUAUUUUGGUCUAUCAAUGAAAGUGUAAGCAUUCCACCUCAAGAGUAAUGUGGCAACGCAGGAACUGAAAUCAUUAGACCGUUUCUGAAACCAAUAGUGAAGUAUGUUAUUUAAUUCGAUGACCCUCGAAAAACCUUACCACAAUUUGAAUAUUAAUUUUAUUUAAUUAAUAC